AACCUUAUGGACCUGCGGGCGUAUACCUGCGGAAGGAUCAUUACAGAGUUGCAAAACUCCCUAAACCAUUGUGAACGUUACCUAAACCGUUGCUUCGGCGGGCGGCCCGGGUCCUUCCCGGCGCCCAUCGGCCCUCGCGGGCGCCCGCCGGAGGUAAACCAAACUAUUGCAUUGUAUGGCCUCUCUGAGUCUUCUGUACUGAAUAAGUCAAAACUUUCAGCAACGGAUCUCAGAUCGGAA
rnacentral:misc_RNA from 1 species